GACGAACGCUGGCGGCGUGCUUAACACAUGCAAGUCGAACGCUCAGGCUCAGCUUUUGUUGGGUGGAUGAGUGGCGAACGGGUGAGUAACACGUGAGUAACCUGCCCCUUUCUUUGGGAUAACGCCCGGAAACGGGGGCUAAUACUGGAUAUUCACUGGUGUUCCCCCGGGGGCGGGUGGAAAGGGCGUUUCUGGUGGGGGUUGGGCUCGCGGCCUAUCAGCUUGUUGGUGGGGUGAUGGCCUACCCAGGCGUUGACGGGUAGGCGGCCUGAGAGGGUGACCGGUCACAGUGGCACGGAGAUACGGCCUAGACUACGACGCGGGGCAGAAGUGGGGAAUAUUGCACAAUGGGCGACAGCCUGAUGCAGCGACGGCGCGUGAGGGAUGGAGGCCUUAAGGUUGUGAUACUCUUUCGCUAAUGGUCAAGCCGCAACAAUGGUUGUGGUGACGGUAGUGGGUAAAGAAGCGCCGGCUAACUACGUG
rnacentral:rRNA from 1 species